rnacentral:misc_RNA from 1 species
GAAAUGCGAUACGUAAUGUGAAUCGCAGCUAUUCGUGAAUCAUCGAAUCUUUGAACGCAUAUUGCACUUUCUAGUUUACUGGAAAGUAUGUCUGUUUGAGUAUCAUUUUACUCUAUCCCACCAACUCUUUGGAGCGAGUGGGGACUUGGGUGUCACCUGUUGGCGACACUUUGAAUUUAGGGGCGUGCAACUCUUAACGCUAGUCUAGUCUUUGAUUACACUUGGCGUACCAGUCGCAACAUCUUAUCAUGCCAAACGGAGUGGUAAGGUGGAUGGUACUGCGUGUGAUCUAGUCCAGUCUACGAGUUGUCCAGAUGAAAGCGUUUUUAACGUGAUCUCAAAUCAGACAAGAGUACCCGCUGAACUUAA